UACGUAGGGAGCAAGCGUUGUCCGGAAUCAUUGGGCGUAAAGCGCGCGUAGGCGGCCCGAUAAGUCCGCUGUGAAAGUCAACGGCUCAACUGUUGGAUGCCGGUGGACACUGUCGGGCUAGAGUACGGAAGAGGCAAGUGGAAUUCCUGGUGUAGCGGUGGAAUGCGCAGAUAUCAGGAGGAACACCUAUAGCGAAGGCAGCUUGCUGGGACGUUACUGACGCUAAGGCGCGAAAGCGUGGGGAGCGAACAGG
rnacentral:rRNA from 1 species